rnacentral:RNase_P_RNA from 1 species
UGAGAAAAUCGGUCUGUUGUUCCGAAUUUAUUUCGGGAAGGAAAGUCCGGACUCCAUAGAGCAGCGUAUAGGAUAACGUCCUUGCAUCGUGAGGUGAUGACCAGUGCAACAGAAAGUAUGUACAGUUCGGCUGUAGUGAAACCAGGUAAACUCUGCGCGGAGCAAUGGUAAGUAUAUCGGUUCUUCAGGAUUUUUUCCUGAAUAGAGGCGGCUCGUCUUGAAAUCCGAGGGGUAAUCAGCUAAAGUUUUGCAGUAAUGUAAAGCGUAGAUAAAUAACAGACGUUCAGAUUUAUUUCUGAAAACAGGAUCCGGCUUAUAGAUUUUCUCAUGGG